CGGAUCAGGUAGGAAUACCCGCUGAACUUAAGCAUAUCAAUAAG
rnacentral:rRNA from 1 species